AUUGAACGCUGGCGGCAGGCCUAACACAUGCAAGUCGAGCGGAUGAAGGGAGCUUGCUCCUGGAUUCAGCGGCGGACGGGUGAGUAAUGCCUAGGAAUCUGCCUGGUAGUGGGGGAUAACGUCCGGAAACGGGCGCUAAUACCGCAUACGUCCUGAGGGAGAAAGUGGGGGAUCUUCGGACCUCACGCUAUCAGAUGAGCCUAGGUCGGAUUAGCUAGUUGGUGGGGUAAAGGCCUACCAAGGCGACGAUCCGUAACUGGUCUGAGAGGAUGAUCAGUCACACUGGAACUGAGACACGGUCCAGACUCCUACGGGAGGCAGCAGUGGGGAAUAUUGGACAAUUGGCGAAAGCCUGAUCCAGCCAUGCCGCGUGUGUGAAGAAGGUCUUCGGAUUGUAAAGCACUUUAAGUUGGGAGGAAGGGCAGUAAGUUAAUACCUUGCUGUUUUGACGGUACCAACAGAAUAAGCACCGGCUAACUUCGUG
rnacentral:rRNA from 1 species